GGGGUUGUGACUCAGUGGUAAAGUGCUUGCCUGGCAUGUAUGAGGCACUGGGUUCAAUCCCUAGCACCACA
rnacentral:tRNA from 1 species